CAGUGUAAGAACUCGGUGAAGAAAUGAAUGUAGCAGAUAAACAGGCCAGGUGCUGGUGAUGCAAAUGAAAUAGAUGACAGAUAGGUUUCAGAAGAUAUCAGAGAAGACAUUUGAGAACAUGAAGUAGUGUGGACUUCCACAAUUAUGCCCUUGUGCAUCCCAGGCUGUGAUGAAAAAUACCUAUCAGAAGGAUCUGGAAAUGUAUUUUGAGUUUCUCAGAG
rnacentral:lncRNA from 1 species